ACACAUACACACACUACACACACACACUACACACACACUACACACAUACAGUACACACACACUACACACACACACACACACACACACACACACACACACAUACAGUACACACACAGACACACUACACACACACACAGACACACUACACACACACACACACACACUACACACUACAAUUCUAGUCAGGAUACCAUAAACUGUUGAAUAGUUGUUUUUUAUCACCCAGACGGUUUGAAUUUGUCUUCUUUUUUAAAAAAUAAUUCCACCAAUCAAGUUAUUAACCAGAGCAACAAAAAAAAUGAAGAAAUAAAAAAUGAUCAAUGUGUCCCUUUAGCCUUUUGAUUGUGUCUUCAAUAACACUGUCAAAUUGUAACGUCAGUAGCAUAAUGUUCACUAUGGACACACAGCGACAAUAACAUCAGUUGUAUGUAACUACUAUGAGCCCAUAUGAUAGAGGAGAUAGUUACUGAUACAGGUCUGAAAGACCAAUGGAGACAAGACGGCAACAUACUGUACAAGAUGCCCAUCUUCAGAUAACUAUCUUCCUCAACCACAGAAAAGCUGGUUCAGUCUCAUUCCAGGUGAUCCGUCACCUCUAGAGGCGGCAGGGUAGCCUAGUGGUUAGAGUGGAGGGGCGGCAGGUAGCCUAGUGGUUAGAGUGUAGGGACGGCAGGUAGCCUAGUGGUUAGAGUGGAGGGGCGGCAGGGUAGCCUAGUGGUUAGAGUGGAGGGGCGGCAGGUAGCCUAGUGGUUAGAGUGGAGGGGCGGCAGGUAGCCUAGUGGUUAGAGUGGA
ensembl:lncRNA